rnacentral:sRNA from 1 species
GACAAUUUCAAAGGAUCAGUUUGAAAAGAAGAAAAAUGACACCUUAGACCCCGAACCGGAGAUUGGGAGAAAAGAGGAAUGAAGCGCUUGUACAAAG